UCCCUGGUGGCUCAGAGGUUAAAGCGUCUGCCUGCAAUGCGGGAGACCUGGGUUCAGUCCCUGGGUUGGGAA
rnacentral:tRNA from 1 species